UAUUAACUCUGUUCCCCUAUAGCUGCUUUCGUCUUUGUGCCCUGCUCGGAAAACUAGUCACUGUUAAGAGGAAGGGAUUUACUACACUAGUGGUUACAUUGAUAUGAUAAAUAUUUCCUUUCAAGUUCAAAUUCAGCUAAUAGAUAAUGGAUGAGGUGUGUACGUGACUGGAAGAGUAUAAAACUUAAACUUGGAAUAAAGAACUUUGCUAUAUGCCAUCCCACAGUGUAUAGUCUGUUUCUUGACUUAAUAAUUACAGGAGCGAGUUCACACCUAGAGCAAAGCUGCUGCUCGUUCGCGUCUCGGGUCGCGCAACACUACAAAAAAAAAAAAAAGGGAUUCUUUGAUGGGUUAAAGCGACGAGGGUUUGUCUAUCUAAAAAGGCUUGGACGAUGAGGAAGCCUGUAGGUCGGAGACGAGCCACCGGAGGAGGUGGUGAGCCACAGGAGCCACCCCAUUGUCCGCUGUCAUGAUGAAGCAUGGUUACAUUGGUAAAUUUGAAAUCCUCGAUGAUCGCAGAGCUGGGGAAAUCGUUGAGAACCUCACACACAGGUUAAACGAGUGUGGAGCGAUCAGCCCCAGGUUUGCUGUGCAACUCUAGAAAGAUGGCAGAAUUGUCUGCUCCCAUCCUGCCGGUUUGGUUUCACUGUACUGACAACUUCAGCUGGCAUCACGGACCACGAAGAAGCAAGAAGAAAACACACGGGAGGGAAAAUCCUGCGAUUCUUUUUCUAGGGAUGCGAUACAUAUUGAACAAAUGAAAUGCCUCAAUGAAAACAAAACCAAAGAAAACAAAAAUAAAAAGAAACAAAUAAGAUGAUCAGUCCUGUACUCUACCUAACUCAAAUCGUGUCACCCGCAAAUGCUUUGAGCGUCGCCUACCUCUGCUCUGAGGCUCUUGUGCCUCCUGGACCUUCCCCCUCCCCUCGCGGAGGGCCCCUGGGGAUGAAGAGUGAUUGUGGGGUGAGCUGGGGGUGGGGUUGGGAGAAGGGAGCGGCUGGCAUUUGGCAGAGUUGUGACACCGAGGAGCCAGCCGACCGAGCUUGUCUGUCUCAGAAAUGGGACUGCCGGCCCAGCCCAGACCAGGCCAGCCCCACCCGAGAGCUCCCACGAUGGCGUGAAUUUUGUGGGAUGUCUCUUUCACCUCGAUCGCACAUCAGAUGAAACCGAACCCUGUCCUGCUUGGUCAGAGAGGGUCACGGGUGGUGCAGAAAAAGCUCAGCUCGACGUGGCCGUUUUAGGGGACUUCCUGCCUCUCUUGAGGUAUCACAGAGUAGAAAGGACCAUAGGGGCUCUGUAUUUUGGUUUUGCUUUCUUUUGUCUGUCUGUUUGGAGACAGAGCAUCUCAAGCCGUCUCCCUGGGUACAGUGACGUGGCAUCACAGCUCACAGGAACCCCCAACUCGGGCUCAAGCGAUCCUCUUGCUUCACUUUCUCUGUUGUUUUUUAGUUGAGAAGGGGGGGGGUCUCACUCCUGCUCAGGCUGGUCUCGAACUCCUGAGCUCCAGCAGUCCAUACGCCUCAGCUCCCCAGAGGGUUGGGACAACAGGCCUGAGGCACCAUGCCCAGGCCCUCUGUGACAUUUCUCCACUCAGGUGACUUCCUGUGCCACUGCCCCCGCUCCCGGCCCUCACCCACGGGAGGGCUGUUGCUAUAUGUGCCCUAGGUGCCUAGGUAGACCCUGUGUGAUGAUGAUGAUGAUGAUGAUGAUGAUGAUGAUUCCCCGAGGAUGUCUGAAAUCACAGCGGGACGGGGAUAUCACAGCGUCUCCGUGUCCGUGCCCAGCUUUCCAUCGGUCACGGAGAUAGAUGUAUACAAACACUACUAUUUGGCAGGUUCUGACCCACGCGACGUGAACCACUGGCACGUUUCUUCCUUUCAGUGGCAUCGCCUUGAUAUUUACGGAGGACAAAAGACCCACUCCCGAGCCAUCUGCCACCGGUGCCUCCUCAUCUACCGGCUGAACGAAGAAAACACAGGGGAGGUUAGAAAACCACGGAGUGGGCCGGGCGUGGUGGCUCGGGCCUUGUAAUCGUAGCACUCUGGGAGGCCGAGGCGGGUGGAUUGCCUGAACUCACAGAUUGGAGACCAGCCUGAACCAGAGCGAGACACCCCCCUCCCCCAAUCCGCCCCAUCUCUAAAAAAUAGCUGGGUGUUGUGGCAGGCACCUGGAUUCCCAGCUUACUCUGGAGGGAGGCUGAGGAAAGAGAAUCGCUCGAGCCCAAGACUUUGAGGUUGCUGUGAGCUAUGGCGCGCCUGGGCCUCUCCUUCUGUGAAGGUCCACAGCACUCAGGUGAGAGGCCUGUUUGCUUUCCGCGUCAUUCUCCCCCCCCCACCCCACCCCACCCCUGCCCCCUCC